rnacentral:rRNA from 1 species
GAGUUUGAUCGUGGCUCAGAUUGAACGCUGGCGGCAUGCCUUACACAUGCAAGUCGAACGGCAGCACGGGAGCUUGCUCCUGGUGGGCGAGUGGCGAACGGGUGAGUAAUGCAUCGGAACGUAUCCUGGAGUGGGGGAUAACGUAGCGAAAGUUACGCUAAUACCGCAUAUUCUGUGAGCAGGAAAGCGGGGGACCUUCGGGCCUCGCGCUCUUGGAGCGGCCGAUGUCGGAUUAGCUAGUUGGUGAGGUAAAGGCUCACCAAGGCGACGAUCCGUAGCAGGUCUGAGAGGAUGAUCUGCCACACUGGAACUGAGACACGGUCCAGACUCCUACGGGAGCAGCAGUGGGGAAUUUUGGACAAUGGGGGCAACCCUGAUCCAGCCAUGCCGCGUGAGUGAAGAAGGCCU